GCACGCUGUACCAAAUAUCUUCACUCUGAAUAAACUAUCGCUUGUCAUAUAAUUUAGCGCCUUGUCCGAAUCAGUCCUUGACCGACUCUCCCUUCUACUCAUUCCAUUUACCAACAGAAACUUGGUAGCAGAGGAUGGUUCACUAAACAAUUGAACCAGACUGGUUGGAGUGGAUGAGAGAGGGCGAAUUGAGGCAAGGACGGUUCGUGGAGGACGGGUGAAAUUACGGGGGAGGACAACCAUUCUACUCAACUCGGGAAACUGAUCACCUGGCCAGCUUAAAACAAAGCUCUCUCCAAACAGAUACACCGUGUCCAAGAGGGGGAGCUGUCGGGAGAGCCGGAACCACCAAGGGUAAAAGUUGGUGACUGGGUAAGGAUCAAGGUCCACAAGAGAAAGUGGCAGGAUCCCAGGUGGACUGGACCGUACGAAGUGAAGGAGGUUACUUCACACUCAGUCCAGGUCAAAGGUAAAUCAGGCGCACCUUGGCACCACCUGACACAUUGCACACCAGCCCCAACCCCUUCCAGAACUUUGACUGAAACCAGGGCCGACUUAAGCGCCCUUAAUUCGACCCCAACCACUGAUCCAGUAGACGAGGGAAAUGGGGCCACAGCCCCCUUUUCCACGUCCUAAGGCGUCUAGCCCAGGGAAGGGGUACCUUACUCCCUGGGAGCGGCUGGGGAUAUCAGCUCCCCUGUUUGUUAUUUUUAUAAUAAUUACUGGAGUAUCCUUAGGAAAUCUCACAUGGCUGGUGCAACAACCCACCAACCACAGGAUCCACAAACGCUCCACUGACUACACUGACAAACCAUGCACUCCAACACAGCAAUCACGGUGAAGGACAACAUUUCAUCUCCUGAGGCAGCGCCUAGGAAGGAUGGAGCAUGGGGUCCGGUUUGGCUACCUCCCCGCCAACUGUGGAUGAUACCAUCCAGAUAGCUACCGGUAUCUCCGGGUCCUCUAACAACUGGCUCCUGUUGGCUGAGGAAACUGGGAAGGCAACCCGACGCGAUAGCCGAAGGGGAGAGGGAGGACUAUGAUGAUCUGGGAAGUGGGGACGAAUCUGCGUACCAUGGUGUGGGGGACUCAGACGUCUAACUUUAUGUCACGUCUCGGUUGAGACGUGAAGAGAGGGAAUCUAAAACUUUUUCCCUAAGAAAAAGUUCCCUUAUAUUGGCCAUGGGCUUCAUUGUUUCUGUCACGCCUCAGAAAAGUUACCUUAUACUGGGCAUUAAAUGAAUGUUGGCUCUCCUCAAUGUGAAGGUUUUAAGUUCCCGGGUGAUAACGAGCCCACCUGGUACAAUAGUUUAGACUGGGAAGAGCCUGAGGGUUUUUACUUAUAGCUGCUUAUGUCACGUCUCUUUGGAGACGUGAAGAGAGGGAUUUGUAAGAAUUUGUAAGAUUUUCUACUUAGUGUGCCUCUAACAUGCACCAAGCUAACAAACGUUAUUACCAUGAAUUGCAGCUAUUACACAUGUUUUCCACUAACCAACUAGUUAUGUCUCAAUGCAGCUUACACAAGCAAACUGAUGUUUCCACUUGCAGCACAUAACAGGAACUGGCCCAACCACAAGCCUACGGGGGCCCCAUCUCGUGAUAACAGCAACAGUGUCUGGCAUGCUCGACCCUGUGAAAACAGGAACACACACACACACAUAUAUGCCAUAGCUUAUCCAAGGCACUCACACCCAGAUUUAGAGCUUUGAUAGAAACUCAACAUCAUCAGAACAUUGCGCAAGAUCGCAGGAAGACGCAUGAACAGAUGGAGCCAAUCGACGGUGACAACACCUGGACCUGAGCCAACCAGAGGACCAGGACUUCAAGACUCAACCUACUUUCUGUGUUGUAUAAAACAUGUAAACAAACUGUUUUAGGGGCUCUCUUCCGCUGGCUCCCUCAGAGCUACUGGAACGAGUCCGUGCACGCUGUACCAAAUAUCUUCACUCUGAAUAAACUAUCGCUUGUCAUAUAAUUUA